rnacentral:lncRNA from 1 species
GUUAGAUGUUUUGUCGCAUCUAAGAUGAAAACAAAGAGCUCCCAGGAGUGAGAGAAAAGGCAGCCCUGCUGUUCCUGGGUUUUCUUGGCUUGUCGUACUUAGAGCAGCAGCAGGAUUAUUCUAAGCACCUGUCUUCUUCAUAAGUGCUAUUUUAGUAAAAACGGGGUGAAUCAAUGGAAAAACCCAGUUAUGCAGGACACAGAAAGCUGCAACCCACAGAAAUGGAAGCCAGUGAGGACCCAGUGGCAACCACGUCUUUCCGGUUCCACCUGGAAACAGGAAGAUUCAUGCCCUUGCUGUUAGUCACCCCAAUAACAAAGCCGGUCAGGAGUAACAGAACAAGCCGUUCGAUCACUUUGGAAGUGUAAAACGUGCUCCUCUGAUUUCUGGGAGCAAUUUCCACCUUCUCUAUGUCGUGCGUGCUCGGCACAGAACAGGCCCUAAAUAAAUAUUGAUUUAUCAGAUCUCAUAUACCUCUCUUUUUCUGUCUCACACAUGCCCA